UAAUAGUAAUCCUGCUCAGUGAGAGAGGAACCGCAGGUUCAGACAUGUGGUGUCUAUGCCGGGCCAAUGGCAAGAAGCUACCAUCCGUGGGAUGAUGACAGAACGCCUGUAAGAGGAAUCCCCCUUUAAGA
rnacentral:ncRNA from 1 species